rnacentral:rRNA from 1 species
AACGAACGCUGGCGGCAGGCCUAACACAUGCAAGUCGAGCGAAGCCUUCGGGCUUAGCGGCGGACGGGUGAGUAACGCGUGGGAACGUGCCCUUUGGUACGGAAUAGCCCCGGGAAACUGGGAGUAAUACCGUAUGUGGUCGAGAGACGAAAGAUUUAUCGCCAAAGGAUCGGCCCGCGUUGGAUUAGGUAGUUGGUGGGGUAAUGGCCUACCAAGCCGACGAUCCAUAGCUGGUUUGAGAGGAUGAUCAGCCACACUGGGACUGAGACACGGCCCAGACUCCUACGGGAGGCAGCAGUGGGGAAUCUUAGACAAUGGGGGAAACCCUGAUCUAGCCAUGCCGCGUGAUCGAUGAAGGCCUUAGGGUUGUAAAGAUCUUUCAGUGGGGAAGAUAAUGACUGUACCACAGAAGAAGCCCCGGCUAACUCCGUGCCAGCAGCCGCGGUAACAC